GACGAACGCUGGCGGCGUGCUUAACACAUGCAAGUCGAACGGUGAACGAGGGAGCUUGCUCCCUCCGGAUCAGUGGCGAACGGGUGAGUAACACGUGCGCAAUCUGCCCCGAACUCUGGGAUAAGCGUUGGAAACGACGUCUAAUACCGGAUACUACGCGGGAGGGCAUCCUCUCCGCGUGGAAAGAACUUCGGUUCGGGAUGAGCUCGCGGCCUAUCAGCUUGUUGGUGAGGUAACGGCUCACCAAGGCGACGACGGGUAGCCGGCCUGAGAGGGUGACCGGCCACACUGGGACUGAGACACGGCCCAGACUCCUACGGGAGGCAGCAGUGGGGAAUAUUGCACAAUGGGCGCAAGCCUGAUGCAGCGACGCCGCGUGAGGGACGACGGCCUUCGGGUUGUAAACCUCUUUUAGCAGGGAAGAAGCGAAAGUGACGGUACCUGAAGAAAAAGCACCGGCUAACUACGUG
rnacentral:rRNA from 1 species